GCAUAAAAAAAAGGAAUGCAGUGUUACAUUACAGCCGGGACUUAGAGACCUGACUGUCGUCUAGGUUGGUGUUGGUACAUUGCGGCACUUUUCUCCCCCUCCUCCCCUAGUCCGAGACUAACUUACCAAUAUACAGUUGUUAACAUUUAUUUUUUUUUUUACAAUUAUUCCUUAAGCAGUACUUUAACCCUUCAACUGUCUACCCAUGGUUUGUUUUUUUUACUGGUUGCCUAGCAACUAAAUUGUAACUUGAAUAUUGAUAGGAUACCAUUGAGGAAGUUCCUUGUAGGAACAUAACGCAUCUGGUAACAAAAAGAAAAAUUACAUUUAACUGUUUGGAGAAAAAGAUCAUGUUUAGUCCGCUGUGUUUCUUAACAUCAAACAAAAUAUUAUUUGACCAGUAAAUCCACCAAACUCCUUUUCUGAACCACAAACAUCUGAUUCUGCUGAAUAAAGUUGUUCAUCUACACAAUAUACAUUCAGAUACCUUACCUUAUUAUUUACUUAUUGUAAUAAAAUACUUUUUUUUUUUUUUUUUUUAAAUCAAUGUCACAUUCUAGUUCCAAGCUGGAAUUAAGUGUAUGGGUCCUGUUCCCCAAUCCAUCAUCAGCAGUACUACGAUUUCUGAAAGUUGGAACAGCUUGUCCUCGGAGGAUUGUUGACACAACGGCUGCCUACAGCAUUAUUAGUAGUAUUCAGACUCAGGAUUGUGGGAUUAGCAGCAUGCCCAUUAAAUCUGAUUCAACACCCAGAAGGCAAUUCCCCCCACCAUCUAUGCAUUUCAAGCUGCAACAACCUGCAUUGCUGCUUCCACUGGCACGCUGCUUCCACUGGCACUGCAGCUCCAUCUGCCAGAGCUAGUUCAAGCAUUAUACCUUCUUGGUACCCCCCUCAAAAAGCAAAUAAAGGGGACUGCAACAGUGUCACCAGAGCUACUCCUUAGUGAGGACUUGGCACAGAGUUUCAAAGUAGCAUCCCUCAACAUGUAGUGUUAGUGGUGAUAAAUCCAAUGAUAAUGUUUCUUUGAGGCAAACAUGCUGUUGUCACGAGUUCCUGGAGGAGCCUACUAGCUAGCCUCCUGCCCAAAGACUAUGGGCCGUAUCCAAAGACCCUGGUCGGGAGAUAAACCUCCCCAGCCACCAUUAGCAGCUUUCCCUGGGUGCCCCUGGUUCGGCACUCUACCUUCAUUAUAAUGGAGCCGAAAAUUAACUCCCUGGCGGCCAUUCGGAUGAAGAAACCCGUGAAUUGUCUUCAGUGGUACUUAGCUGCGAUUGUUAUGGAACUAAAUUUUGCAUGAGGUGACCGUGCGGCUCACGGACAACUUGGUCCGGGGUUUUGAACGACUUUGCAACCCACCAGGAGAACGCUUUUUGGAAGGAAGGUGCCUGCAACAAAGGGGCACAAACGCUUCCCAAGAGCCAACCAGAGCACCCUAUAUUUUGUAUGCAGGAGCCCCCGAAAGUUGACCGGGCAAAGCACCAAAUGCCUGGAACUGUUUUGGACAUAGGACCACGCAUGCGGCCAGUCAGAACUUUCACAGUGGCGAUUACCCUACACUGUAUGGAUCUGAGCACUAUUUGGAGAACUUGAGCACUCUGAUCAGGGCUAUUUGGGGAUGAAAUUAUUUGUAGGGUUAUUUUAUGUUUUGCGGUAUUUUUAUGUUUGCCUCUUUUCCUGGGAGAUAAUUAGCUUACCGGUCUUUAACGCAAUUAACUCCCAGGCACAGAGACUUAUGGGAAGGGCUUGUCUUACAUUGAAUGGAGACCCCAUGCUGGGGGCUGUGUAUAAAAGCAGGCAACUUGGCCAUAAUAAAUCAGUUCCUUUACACCCUUCACUCAGUCUUGACUAUUGUUUUGGUGUACCAGCUAUACAUCUAUACUCUCUGCAGGAGAACUUUAGUCACUAGAAGCUGAAUCCAGGACCAAGUUCUAGGGUGGGAAGUGAUGGCGAGACCCUGGCCAAGCUGCGGCAGCUAGGGGCUGAAG